rnacentral:rRNA from 1 species
AGACGUCUACAUUAGAUACCCGUGUAGUCCCAGCCGUAAACUAUGCGCGUUAGGUGUAUCGGUGACCACGAGUCACCGAGGUGCCGAAGGGAAACCGUGAAACGUGCCGCCUGGGAAUUACGGUCGCAAGGCUGAAACUUAAAGGAAUUGGCGGGGAGCACCACAACGGGUGGAGCCUGCGGUUUAAUUGGACUCAACGCCGGGAAGCUCACCGGAUAAGACAGCGGAAUGAUUGCCGGGCUGAAGACUCUGCAUGACUAGCUG